UCUCUCUCUCUCUCUCUCUCAUAACUCUUCCUCCUCUAGAAAAACGCGUUCUUUGGUUUCGCUUCUUGUUUUUACGUUUCUCGUUGUAGACUCUCUUUUUCUAUUUCUUUUUCUCUUUCUAACGGAGUUUGAGGCAAUGUGAGCUUGUAGAAUCCCAGAAAUGCGUUCUUGUUUCUGUUAUUUUGGAAUGUGUUUUCUUAGGGAAUGAUUUGAAGCUGUUUCUAUUGAUCUGUUCCCAGAGCUUGAGCUUCUCUUUCAAUUUUCAGUGCUAGGGUAUUUUUUGAUAGGAAACUGUGCACAUUUUGGUUUUGUCUUGUUUGGCUUUUCAAGGUGGUCAUGCGAGCUUCAGAUUUUUUUCAAUUGAUUGUUUAAUGGUGUUUGAAUAAUGCCUAGCAUUAGAGCUCCGGCUACCAAGAGAACCACAACCCUCACGGUUGCUGUCAAGUGCAGACCUUUAACGGAGAAAGAACGUGGUCGCGACAUUGUCCGUGUUAAUGACAAUAAGGAGGUGAUUAUUCUGGAUCCUGACCUGUCAAAGGACUACCUUGAUCGCAUACAGAAUCGAACUAAGGAGAAGAAAUAUUGUUUCGAUCACGCCUUUGGUCCUCAUUGUACAAAUUUGGAUGUAUACAAGAGAGGUAUAUCUUCUAUAGUCUCUGGGGUUGUUCAAGGUCUAAAUGCUACCAUCUUUGCCUAUGGUUCAACCGGAAGUGGUAAAACGUAUACAAUGGUUGGGACCCAAGAAGAUCCUGGACUUAUGGUUCUCAGUUUGCAUACAAUUUUUGCUCUUAUAAAAAAGGAUAAGAGCUCUGAUGAAUUUGAAGUCUCUUGUUCCUACCUUGAAGUCUACAAUGAGGUUAUAUAUGAUUUACUUGAGAAAUCAUCAGGUCAUUUGGAACUCCGAGAGGAUCCACAGCAAGGAAUAAUGAUUGUUGGGCUGAGGUGUAUCAAGGUUCAUUCAGCUGAUAAGAUUCUUGAAUUAUUGAACUUAGGAAAUAGUAGACGGAAAACAGAGAGUAUAGAGGCUAAUGCAACGUCAUCUCGGUUUGUAAUUAUCCUUUUCAGUUGUGUGUUUGUUCGCAUGAAUAACUUUAUGAUUCCCGCUACUAUAAUUUCAUUGCAUAUGAAUAUUAAAGACUUUUAAUGAGUAUAUUCAAUUAUGAUACAUCAUUAUCAUAUGUUUGGUAUUGCAACCUCUGGUUUCUUUUAACUGUAUAUUUUAAAGAGUAAUCAUUCAUAAGGGCUAAGGUUUACAAUUUAAUCAUUAAAAAUGAGAAAAUGUGUCAUUAAAUUGUGAGAGGAAAAGUUGCUUUAACUGCUGCAGUGGUAUUUGCAUCUUCCCUUAAUAGUGGUGCUAUAACUGUUUCAGCAUUGGAAAAUUAUUUCACAUUUAGCCGUUUCUGUGCCAUGUUACCUUUUUCUAAGAUAAAUUAUUUCCCAUGUAACCAGAUCACAUGCUGUUUUAGAGAUAAUUGUGAAAAGAAAGCAGAGAAACAAGUAUAGAAAUCAAGUCAUGCGAGGCAAGCUUGCACUUGUGGAUCUUGCUGGCAGUGAAAGAGCUUCUGAGGCAAACAGUGGUGGACAAAGGCUAAGGGAUGGAGCCAAUAUUAACCGUUCUCUUCUUGCUUUAGCAAAUUGCAUUAAUGCCUUAGGGAAACAGCAAAAGAAGGGUCUUGCUUAUGUCCCUUACCGCAAUGGGUAUCUUUUGCUACAUUUUAAUUUAUAUUUUGCUGAAGGGAACCAUAAAAGUUGAUGUAGGCUGAGACCUUUGUGUUAGUGUAGCUAAUAUCGGUAUUUUACAGCAAGCUAACACGCAUACUUAAAGAUGGUCUGAGCGGUAAUUCUCAGACUGUCAUGAUUGCUACGAUAUCCCCUGCGAACUGUCAGUAUCAUCAUACCAUAAAUACCUUGAAGUGUGCUGACCGAGCGAAGGAAAUAAAGACACAUAUUCAGGUGAGAUUAUGUUUAUCCAGGAAAGUAUUUAAUUAGAAUGUUGAGAUCACAUAGAUCUGAUGGAAGGCUAUUUGUUUUCUUUAUGUGAAUCAAGUAAUCAAUCACACUGGCCUUUGUAUGAACGUAGUUCCUUUCAAAGAUAAUAUGCAUAUUUUAUCCUUUUCUCAUGUGCUUCAUGUUGGAUCAUCCUGUGUUUUUUGCAAGUUCUCCAUUCUUCUGGUAGUCAGCUGAUGAGAUUUCCAAAUUUAAGAUUACAGUGUUGGAGCUCCGUUGCUAAGUGGGAACAUGGUUAUUCUUAAUUGAAUAUGCAUAAUUCAAUUGCAUUUUUCCUCAUUAUCUUCUUUUUUUCCAUUUCUUCACUUUCUAUUUCCUCAUGCACCACUGGGUUGGCUGGCACCAUCUCUUACAGAAAUUUGAAAAUUUCUUUAUUAUUUUCCUCAGAAAAAUAUUGGCAUGAUCGAUACCCAUGUGUCAGAUUACCAGAGGAUGAUUGACAGUCUUCAGACUGAGGUUUGCCGUUUAAGAAAAGAACUGGCUGAAAAGGAAUCCCAACUAAGUGUCAAACCUGCCGAAAAAGCUGUAGAUGAUGAGCUUUCAUGGUUGGACAUUUUAAGUCGUGAAACCAGUGAAAAUGUUCAGGAACGAAUAAACUUACAGAAGGCAUUAUUUGAACUUGAGGAGACUAAUCUUCGUAACCGCAGCGAACUCCAACAUCUUGAUGAUGCAAUUGCAAAACAAGAAGUUAGGUGUUGCCAGCAUCGUUCAAUCUCUUGGCUAUAUCUAGGACAGUGGACAAGAAUCAGUGAUUCAAUUUACUUAGCUAGGGUUAUAUGUGCUUGGAUUUUAUUUUUUCCAAAUGUGUUUAUCUGACAGUUCUUCAAAUAUAUUUUAUUGUUAUAAUAGCUAGGCAGCAUGGAAUGUAGAAUGUCUAACAGGAAUCCCUCUCUCUUUCCCCCAAAGUUUUAGCAAUUGUUCAUUGAGCUUUAAAUUGAAUUGGAGAGUAACUAAUAAUUGCUUCUCCUUCCCUUUUGAAAGAUGGAAGUGGUUCAUAUGGAAGAAAUAUGGGAAUGGAACUUGUGGAUAAUUCACGGGUUGUCGAAACUUGUGGAUGAUUCAUGGGUCGUUUAAAUAGUAUAAAAUUCUCUAUCACAGGCUGUCAAGAAGGAACAAUUGUAGAGGCCUUCUUUAAUUUUUAAUUCAUUCUAAUAAUGAAAUACUUUUGUCUUAACAUUUUUUGUCAUAGGCUAUUGAGAAGGAAGGAGCAUUUGUAGAGUCUUUGAAAGCAAGGCGACAAGUCAUCCUUGAUAACAUUCGUGACAAUGAUGAGGCUGGCAUCAAUUACAAAAAGGAAAUUGAAGAAAAUGAGAAGCAUAGAUGCCAACUCCAAGAUAUGAUUGAGAAAGCCAUUAGUAAGGAUGGAAGUAAAACCUACUUGUGGAUUCUUAGUCAAUACAGGCUUCUGGGAAUGGCUAAUACUGAGCUUCAGUUUGAAAUGGCAAAGAGGUAUCAAAUCAUCCACAACCAACGAGAAGCACAAAGAAACCUGUGGAACUUGCUCAUGGGAUUAGGACUUGAAGAGAAACAUUUGUUGGACUUUGCAGUUAAACAUGGAAUAAUAAUUGAAGAUUGGAUGAUGAUGCCCCAUCUUGGGAUUUCAGAUAAGAAGCAAUCCUCAGUUUCUGCUUUUGGCAGAUAUGUUCCAAUGGGAUAUAGUCAGUGCUCUAGUCAAUCAUUUUCUGGAUCUUGCAUCUUCCAACACUAUCAAGAUUUUGGUUCAAGAUCAUUUUCCAGGGGGCCUUGGGAUGCCAGUGGUACUUUUUGCAGGGAAGAGCACCAUAGUUCCUAUUACAUGCUGUCUAAUGAUCUAUCCCCUCCUGCAUAUCUGAGGCUGAGGAAGAGUGCUAACCAUUGGAUUGGUGGUGCCCCAGAUUCCUGGUUUGGCACACCUGCUAAGCGUCCUCAAAAUUUGCGCAGUUCAUGCCCAGAGCUGAGAAAUUGGACUUCCCCUUGUUGCGAAGGCUUCCCAUCAGGUUCAUCUCUCAGUGCUGAUUUAAGCUAUCAGCAUAAGGUAUGGAUACAAUCAUUAUGCUAGUGUCUGUGUGUGUAUUCUCCUUCUCCUUCUCUCCCCCUCCCCUUUUAAAUUGCUCCCAUCCCAGACAUAGUUCAACAGCUAAAUUAUUUGUAACUAAUUAAUUUAGGGUGAGUGAGAUUAUUAUCCAUCUUUGGUUCUUGCUCAUUUAUGCAUCUUUUCUAGCAGAUCCAAUCUUAGGAACCAUAUCAUGACAAAUUUUAGCUGUUUUUGAAGUUUUUAUCAUUUGAUCUGUGUUAGCCUUCUCAUACAGGAAACAUGGAACAAUGCUUCAAGGCAACAUCUAUAUAAGAGUCCUAAUGCUGGAAUGAGUGGCGGCCAAACAAUGAUGGCUAAUGGUGGAACAGCUCGAGGUUCCUCGGCACAGCUCUCAGGUCUGCACAGCUCAAACCAUAUUUUUCAGCACACUGAACCCUCUAGUGGCCCAAAUAUAUCACAUGUUCCUUCAUUUGCUACUGCGGGAACAAAUCUCUUUUGUAACCCCUAGUUCUGACACCAAAAUUCACCCCUUAAAUUUUGUAUAGAUGUCUUGCUUUUUCAGUAUCCUUUGUAUGCUAUUCUUUUGAUUUUUGCCCCCAUCAGUUGUACAUAUCAAGAGUAGCAUAGGAUAGGAGUAUUGUCAAUGUAGAGCAGGUGGCAGUUGAUUCUUUUGCUUCCCUUUUCAGAGGAAGGAUAAAGGUUUAGUUUGUAAUUAGUAAUUAGUUGGAUAUACCCUUACAUGCGAAGUUGCUAGCAUGUUGAAUGUAGUAGUCAUUAGGGGUGUAAAAUUUCGGUUCAGGGUUUGCUGAAAUUUCAGUACGGAUUUGAUUUGAUUUUUCAUUGUUUUAAUCAUGAUUCAGUAUGAUAAUUAAUUUUUCGAUU
rnacentral:misc_RNA from 1 species